rnacentral:rRNA from 1 species
AGUGAACGCUGGCGGUAGGCCUAACACAUGCAAGUCGAACGGCAGCACAGUAAGAGCUUGCUCUUACGGGUGGCGAGUGGCGGACGGGUGAGGAAUACAUCGGAAUCUACUUUUUCGUGGGGGAUAACGUAGGGAAACUUACGCUAAUACCGCAUACGACCUACGGGUGAAAGCAGGGGAUCUUCGGACCUUGCGCGAGUGAAUGAGCCGAUGUCGGAUUAGCUAGUUGGCGGGGUAAAGGCCCACCAAGGCGACGAUCCGUAGCUGGUCUGAGAGGAUGAUCAGCCACACUGGAACUGAGACACGGUCCAGACUCCUACGGGAGGCAGCAGUGGGGAAUAUUGGACAAUGGGCGCAAGCCUGAUCCAGCCAUACCGCGUGGGUGAAGAAGGCCUUCGGGUUGUAAAGCCCUUUUGUUGGGAAAGAAAAGCGGCAGGUUAAUACCCCGCUGUUCUGACGGUACCCAAAGAAUAAGCACCGGCUAACUUCGUG